rnacentral:rRNA from 1 species
GACGAACGCUGGCGGCGUGCCUAAUACAUGCAAGUAGAACGCUGAAGGAGGAGCUUGCUUCUCUGGAUGAGUUGCGAACGGGUGAGUAACGCGUAGGUAACCUGCCUGGUAGCGGGGGAUAACUAUUGGAAACGAUAGCUAAUACCGCAUAAUAGCAGUUAUUGCAUGAUAACUGUUUGAAAGGUGCAAUUGCAUCACUACCAGAUGGACCUGCGUUGUAUUAGCUAGUUGGUGAGGUAACGGCUCACCAAGGCGACGAUACAUAGCCGACCUGAGAGGGUGAUCGGCCACACUGGGACUGAGACACGGCCCAGACUCCUACGGGAGGCAGCAGUAGGGAAUCUUCGGCAAUGGACGGAAGUCUGACCGAGCAACGCCGCGUGAGUGAAGAAGGUUUUCGGAUCGUAAAGCUCUGUUGUAAGAGAAGAACGAGUGUGAGAGUGGAAAGUUCACACUGGACGUAUCUACCAGAAAGGAC